UUAUCCUAAUCUUUUUUUUUUUCUUCCACAUGAAUUAACUUUUGAAAAGUUGGAAAGAAACAUGAGGUGUUUUUUUUUUUUUUUAGGGAACAUUCUUAACAAAAGGGUAUAAAAUUCAACUGGGUUUGACCUUUUGAGUUUAGCAGAUUUUCCACCUGGUCUGAGCUGGAGGAAAUGGGCUUCGCAGCGGGAAGGCUGCUUCUCCGGCUGUGGAAAGCGCUCCUGCGUCCGUUCUCGAGGCGGUGCGCUUCUUGGCUGAGCCAUGCUGAAUCUCACACGUGGGUGGACACAUCUAUCUUGAGUUUCAUCCACUCGGGGCCAACUUCUUUCUGGCACGAAGGGUGCAAGCUUGGAGCACAGACCCAGCCACCGGAUAUUUCAAAUGAUUUGAUGCUGGGGCCUCCUAUGGUCAGAAGAUGGGGAUCCUUCAAUUGGAGUCAUCGCCCAUCCGCUCACGAGGGUGUUGGGGAAUUCUGGCAGCCUGCCUUUGAAUCCUGGCUCCAUCACUGAGUGACAGACUUUGGGCAAAUCAUAGAACCUCUCUUAGCCUCAGUCCCCUCAGGUGUA
rnacentral:lncRNA from 1 species